AUACUCACCUGGCAGGGGAGACACCACGAUCACGAAGGCGGUUUUCCCAGGGCGAGGCUUAUCCAUUGCACUCGGGAUGUGCUGACCCCUGCCAUUUCCCCAAAUGUGGGAAACGCGACUGCAUAAUUUGUGGUAGUGGGGGACUGGCAUUNN
rnacentral:snRNA from 1 species